CCUACGGGAGGCAGCAGUGGGGAAUAUUGGACAAUGGGCGCAAGCCUGAUCCAGCCAUGCCGCGUGUGUGAAGAAGGCCUUCGGGUUGUAAAGCACUUUUAUCCGGAAAGAAAAGCUUUGGGUUAAUACCCUGAAGUCAUGACGGUACCGGAAGAAUAAGCACCGGCUAACUUCGUGCCAGCAGCCGCGGUAAUACGAAGGGUGCAAGCGUUACUCGGAAUUACUGGGCGUAAAGCGUGCGUAGGUGGUUUGUUAAGUCUGAUGUGAAAGCCCUAGGCUCAACCUGGGAAUUGCAUUGGAUACUGGCAGGCUAGAGUGCGGUAGAGGAUAGUGGAAUUCCCGGUGUAGCAGUGAAAUGCGUAGAGAUCGGGAGGAACAUCUGUGGCGAAGGCGACUAUCUGGGCCAGCACUGACACUGAGGCACGAAAGCGUGGGGAGCAAACAGGAUUAGAUACCCUGGUAGUCCACGCCCUAAACGAUGCGAACUGGAUGUUGGGUGCAACUAGGCACUCAGUAUCGAAGCUAACGCGUUAAGUUCGCCGCCUGGGGAGUACGGUCGCGAAGACUGAAACUUAAAGGAAUUGACGG
rnacentral:rRNA from 1 species